rnacentral:lncRNA from 1 species
AAGAACCGCACAUCUCAUUAAUGAACAUCUAGUUACAAUUCAUGAAUCCACCCUCGAGGGAGAGUUGAGCUAGCUAGCCAGUCCGUCAUACUGUUCCCAAGACGGGGAGUGAAUCUGAUCCGUAGAAUGGCUAUUAAAGGAGGAGUGCUGAAAUACCUUUGAGGUAGUUGAAACACUAUUCGGGCCAUCGGUGUUUUGAACUGUUGAUGGUAUUGAUCAGUUCUUGACAGUCGCAGAAAAUGGUGGAGCGCUUUGUAAAUUCUCGGACUCCAGCAUUAAAAGGAGAUGAACAGUACGCUGUGACAGUCUUCUCGUUCGUCGCUUGGUUGUUGGCAUUGGAAAUAUGAAUAGCUUAAGUCACCUCCUGGAAUUCGGGUGGAUGCC